rnacentral:siRNA from 1 species
UCUAAGGUCUGGUGCUGAAUUC